CCAUUUCUAUUUUUUAAAUGGAUAAUUAUAUUCACACCUUAACAUAACUUGUACAAGAACAUGUUUUUGCUCUUAAGUCUACCACAUUUUGAAUUCCAGCUUUCCAUUUUUCUCCAGAGUCUUCAUAAUUCUUCAUCCAACUUCAUUGUUCCAUUGUUCACAACAACCGCUUUAACUACGAUCAUUGUCAUCAAAUACAUCCUAAUUUGUUUGAUAAUACAUUUACAAUCGAAAGUGAACAGUGUCAAUUAAGGUCAACAUGCUGAGUCUAGGUACCAGAAAAAUUUAGACAAGUAGUAGGCAAAAUUAUGCAAGCGGAAGUGUAAAGAAGAAUAACACACAAUCACUAAAAGAAAUUUGCUAGAUAAACAGGGCUGACAGGCCAGUCCCGCCAUGGGUGGGGUUCGGUCAGGGGGCCCGUCAGACCCUUUGUUUUUCUAGCAAGUCUCUUACUAAAAUGCUAUUUUCGUACAAAUAAACAAUUGAAAAGAUUUUUAAAGAAUAAUCUUCAAGGAUUUAAUUAAGCAAUUGAAAAGAUAUUUAAAGAACAAUCUUCAAGGAUUUAAUUAUAUUACUCAAACAACCAUAACCACACACCCAUGUCCUAUGUUAUACAAACAAAAACAAAAAUAAACUCAAAAACUGAGAAUAUCCAAGCUUAACAAUGAUAGCUCAGCAUCUCAUUUCAACCAUGUGUCAACUGCAGAUUGGCUUUCAAUCUGCAAACAAAAAGCAACAACAAAAUAUGGAUAAUCUCUUAAAUCCACUCUUCAAUUUUAUUUUCCUAGAAAUGGAAAUCUGUUCGGAUUAUUGGCCCUAGAUUUGAUUUUACCUCAAUGAUCUUUUAUUUUCAGCCACUCAGUCAAACCAAAAACAUCAAUCAUUUAGCAAAAAUCACAGCAUCUCAAACAGUAAAUAAAAUGCAGAAAAUGUAAAGAAUAAGAACACCAAAAAAUGGUCACCCAGUUCACCCAAAUAAGGGCUAAUCUGGGGGCUCAAGAUUAGUCCAAUCUACUAUAUAAAACCAGCCUUCCAAAGAGAUCAAUGUACAAAGGAACCAAUCUGACUUUCUCUUAAGGUUCUAAUCAUAGAUCACAUAAAGAUCUCAAGAACCAUAUAUAAGAAUCAACCCUAAACUUGACAAGAACUAACACAGCUAAACUAGUGUACCACGCUAAAAAAUAACAGAUUGAAACCUUUCUUUCAAGUCUACAACACAAUGGUUAUACAAUUCUUUAACCUCUCCAAUAAUCACAGUGAAACAUAAUGGAAAUUGGAAGAAUUUCACAGAGAGAGAGAGAGAGAGAGAGAGAGCCACCUUUUAAAAAUCUCCGGAAAGAAU
rnacentral:lncRNA from 1 species